UACGUAGGGUGCGAGCGUUAAUCGGAAUUACUGGGCGUAAAGCGUGCGCAGGCGGCGAUGUAAGACAGUUGUGAAAUCCCCGGGCUCAACCUGGGAACUGCAUCUGUGACUGCAUCGCUGGAGUGCGGCAGAGGGGGAUGGAAUUCCGCGUGUAGCAGUGAAAUGCGUAGAUAUGCGGAGGAACACCGAUGGCGAAAGCAAUCCCCUGGGCCUGCACUGACGCUCAUGCACGAAAGCGUGGGGAGCAAACAGG
rnacentral:rRNA from 1 species